rnacentral:rRNA from 1 species
GAUGAACGCUAGCGGCAGGCUUAAUACAUGCAAGUCGAGGGGCAACAGGGGUAGCAAUACCUGCUGGCGACCGGCAAACGGGUGCGGAACACGUACAGAACCUUCCUUUAAGCGGGGGAUAGCCCGGAGAAAUCCGGAUUAAUACCCCAUAGUAUUACUGACUGGCAUCAGUUGGUAAUUAAAGAUUUAUCACUUUAAAGAUGGCUGUGCGGCUGAUUAGGUAGUUGGUGUGGGUAACGGCCCACCAAGCCAGCGAUCAGUAACUGGUGUGAGAGCACGACCAGUCACACGGGCACUGAGACACGGGCCCGACUCCUACGGGAGGCGGCAGUAAGGAAUAUUGGUCAAUGGACGCAAGUCUGAACCAGCCCAUGCCGCGUGAAGGAUGAAGGUCCUCUGGA